CUGAUACAGACAGAGCGACAGAACCAUGCCAGAGAGUUGAUCAAAGAGAUCUCCCUGCCACAGGGGGACGGCAUCAUCAUCGUCUCUGGAGAUGGCCUGCUGCACGAGGUGAUCAAUGGUUUGAUGGAGCGUCCAGACUGGGAACUAGCAAUAAAGACACCUGUAGGCAUCCUGCCCUGUGGCUCUGGAAAUGCCCUGGCU